AUGAGACUGCCGGUGACAAACCGGAGGAAGGUGGGGACGACGUCAAGUCAUCAUGGCCCUUACUGUCCUGGGCGUACACACGUGCUACAAUGGCCGGUACAGAGUGAAGCGAAACCGCGAGGUGAAGCAAAACGCAGAAAGCCGGUCUCAGUACGGAUUGGAGUCUGAAACUCGACUUCAUGAAGUUGGAAUCGCUAGUAAUCGCGCAUCAGCAUGGCGCGGUGAAUACGUUCCCGGGCCUU
rnacentral:rRNA from 1 species